rnacentral:rRNA from 1 species
AGUGAACGCUGGCGGCAGGCCUAACACAUGCAAGUCGAGCGGCAGCGCGGGGGCAACCCUGGCGGCGAGCGGCGGACGGGUGAGGAAUUCGUCGGAAUCUGCCUUUUUGUGGGGGAUAACGUAGGGAAACUUACGCUAAUACCGCAUCCGUCCUACGGGAGAAAGUGGGGGACCGCAAGCCCUCCCGCAGAAAGAUGAGCCGACGACCGAUUAGCUAGUUGGUGGGGUAAAGGCCCACCAAGGCGACGAUCGGUAGCUGGUCUGAGAGGAUGAUCAGCCACACUGGGACUGAGACACGGCCCAGACUCCUACGGGAGGCAGCAGUGGGGAAUAUUGGACAAUGGGCGCAAGCCUGAUCCAGCCAUGCCGCGUGUGAGAAGAAGGCCUUCGGGUUGUAAAGCACUUUUGUCCGGAAAGAAAUCCCUGGAGCUAAUACCUUCGGGGGAUGACGGUACCGGAAGAAUAAGCACCGACUAACUUCGUG